rnacentral:rRNA from 1 species
UACGUAGGGUGCAAGCGUUAAUCGGAAUUACUGGGCGUAAAGCGUGCGCAGGCGGUGAUGUAAGACAGGUGUGAAAUCCCCGGGCUUAACCCUGGGAACUGCAUUUGUGACUGCAUCGCUGGAGUGCGGCAGAGGGGGAUGGAAUUCCGCGUGUAGCACGUGAAAUGCGUAGAUAUGCGGAGGAACACCGAUGGCGAAGG